UUGGCUUAGAAGCAGCCAUCAUUUAAAGAAAGCGUAAUAGCUCACUGGUCGAGUCGGCCUGCGCGGAAGAUGUAACGGGGCUAAACCAUGCACCGAAGCUGCGGCAGCGACGCUGAUGCGUUGUUGGGUAGGGGAGCGUUCUGUAAGCCUGUGAAGGUGGCCUGUGAGGGUUGCUGGAGGUAUCAGAAGUGCGAAUGCUGACAUAAGUAACGAUAAAGCGGGUGAAAAGCCCGCUCGCCGGAAGACCAAGGGUUCCUGUCCAACGUUAAUCGGGGCAGGGUGAGUCGACCCCUAAGGCGAGGCCGAAAGGCGUAGUCGAUGGGAAACGGGUUAAUAUUCCCGUACUUGGUGUUACUGCGAAGGGGGGACGGAGAAGGCUAUGUUGGCCGGGCGACGGUUGUCCCGGUUUAAGCGUGUAGGUGUGUGUUCCAGGUAAAUCCGGUUCACUUUAACACUGAGGCGUGACGACGAGGCACUACGGUGCUGAAGCAACAAAUGCCCUGCUUCCAGGAAAAGCCUCUAAGCAUCAGGUAACAUCAAAUCGUACCCCAAACCGACACAGGUGGUCAGGUAGAGAAUACCAAGGCGCUUGAGAGAACUCGGGUGAAGGAACUAGGCAAAAUGGUGCCGUAACUUCGGGAGAAGGCACGCUGACA
rnacentral:rRNA from 1 species